GGUCAUGUGGCCUAGUGGUCAUGGCAUCUGCCCGGAAAGCGGAAGGUCGUGGGUUCGAUUCCCAUCCCUUGACUC
rnacentral:tRNA from 1 species